rnacentral:lncRNA from 1 species
GGGGGAUGGUGGUGGAGGGGAGCUAGCAGUUUUAAUAAGCCCCCCAGUGGCUCUGACAGGCAGCCAGGCUUGCCAGCACUGCUCUGCUGGAAGCAUCCUGCAAAAGCCGUGCUUAUUUAUUUGCUUUUGUGAGCUUCAUCAGUUCUUCCAAUUUUCACCCUGAAAAUGAUCCUUCAAACUCAGCCGCUGGAUAAGACACCCUGAAAUGGACAUGCCUAAUGUGAAACCUUCUCGGCCAUUCGUGGCUGCAGCCAGUGGAAAAAGGACUUCACCAUUGCUUAUAAACCAUGAAUCAGUGUCCGCCUUUGCUAACGGCUUCCUUGGUUUGGUUAUUCAAACAUUGCAUAGGAAUGGAAUCAUAGAACACAUGAUAUUUUGUGACUGCCUUCUUUCACUUGGCGUAAUGUUUCUGAGGUUCAUCCACGUUGUAGCGUGUAUCAAUACUUCAUUCUUUUUAAUAGAUGAUUAAUAUUCCAUUGCAUGGAUGUAAUACAUUUUGAUCAUUCAUCACUUGAUGGACAUUUGGGUUGUUUCUACUUUUUGCCUAUUAGGAAUAAUGCUACUAAAAUAAACAUUUUUUUUGUUUUGCUUUUGUGUGAA